rnacentral:lncRNA from 1 species
UGAGAGCUCCCCUGUGGAUGGAGACUGUCCUCUCUUCCCCAUCCAGUAGCAUCCUACAGCCCUGCAUAUCUGUGAUGGAUCCUGUUAAUUGUCAACUUGAAAGAAUCCACAGUCGCCUGUGAGAAGGGCCUCUGGGCGUGCCCUAUAGGGGAUUAUCUUGAUUACAAGAAUUGAUGUGGGAAGACCCGCCCACAUGAGAAGCACUGUUCCCUAGGCUGGAGAAUAGUAUUUCACCACAGCCAUGGGAAAGAAGGUAAGCCAGCAGGGAGCCAAGCACUUUUUCAAUGGACUUCUACAUUAGUGUCCCCCCACCCCCAGGCACAUCUUGUGAGUACUUCAAACAAGUAAGCAUCCCAGAUCCUCCUCAUGCUUUUCCUCACUUCAUCCGGACCUGACCAGAGCCAGGUUACUGAAAAUACUGGGGCUCCCAGAAAAACAAGAAAUUUGGAAGAGACUUCCAGUCUUCUUUCCUAGACAUGUCUGUGACAAGCAUCAUGGACCCUUGGCUGAUUGGGACUCAGAUCUCAAGCCAGUACCCCAGGAUGGAAGGUUGACCUCACCCGCUAUGGGGCCAAGGCUCACCGGAAGCAGUAAUUGGUGUCCAGGGCCCUCUUCUUCCUCUGACUGCCCUGGCCUGGGCUGUCCAGUCGGUGUGGGGGGAUCAUCAUGAGGAUCAGGUGUGGGUUGUGGUGAUCCUUUUGCUUCUUGAGACGCCCCAGGUCUCCACGGCCAUGGUCAUCUUCAUUGUCCACUCCUGCAAAGGGAAGCGAGGCCACAACCUCCUGUUUAAACGCAAGCAGUACCCUUGCAGAUUGCUUCCACCUCAUUUUAGCCCAUCACUGCCUGGUCAAGAUGAGGGACAGUACAGUCUGUGAGGAAGGAAGGCACAGGGCAAGUCUCAUCCCCACCCCUAAGAAGGCACAGACUGAGGGGAGCAACCAAUGUCAGAAGCACUCAGUAGGUACCAUGGAUACCCUUCUAGACAAC